rnacentral:rRNA from 1 species
UGGGGAAUAUCGGACAAUGGACCAAGAGUCUGAUCCAGCAAUUCUGUGUGCACGAUGAAGUUUUUCGGAAUGUAAAGUGCUUUCAGUUGGGAAGAAAAAAAUGACGGUACCAACAGAAGAAGUGACGGCUAAAUACGUGCCAGCAGCCGCGGUAAUACGUAUGUCACAAGCGUUAUCCGGAUUUAUUGGGCGUAAAGUGCGUCUAGGUGGUUAUGUAAGUCUGAUGUGAAAAUGCAGGGCUCAACUCUGUAUUGCGUUGGAAACUGUAUAACUAGAGUACUGGAGAGGUAAGCGGAACUACAAGUGUAGAGGUGAAAUUCGUAGAUAUUUGUAGGAAUGCCGAUGGGGAAGCCAGCUUACUGGACAGAUACUGACGCUGAAGCGCGAAAGCGUGGGUAGCAAACAGGAUUAGAUACCCUGGUAGUCCAUGCCGUAAACGAUGAUUACUAGGUGUUGGGGGUCGAACCUCAGCGCCCAAGCAAACGCGAUAAGUAAUCCGCCUGGGGAGUACGUACGCAAGUAUG